rnacentral:tRNA from 1 species
GGGAUGUGGCGCAGUUUGGCAGCGCGCCCGCCUCGACGACGGAAAGGUCGCUGGGCCGUGGGGUUCGAAUCCCGCCCCCG